GCGAGGGAAGAGCGGGGCGGCGCCCGCGCGUUACGUGAUGGAACCCGCCCGGCGGGCGCAACAGGAGGCCCGCCUGGGGGCAGUGCGCUGCCGGCCGCGUCACGUGACGCUUCUUGCCAACAGGUCGCCCGAGGCGGGACGCGGGGGUCACAGAGGCUUCCGGUGGCUCCAGGUGUUCCUUGGCUUGUGACUGCAUAACUCCAUUCUCUGCCUCCAUUUUCAGGCAGUGGUGAACUGUGUGGAAUUGCUGAUGCUGGAGUUGAAACCUGAAUAUGAGGAUGCUCUAAACUGAUUUGCAGCACAGUAAAAAUGGAAGAAUAAGAGCUGUGUGAGGAUACAAGAAGAAAACAGUCAUUUGCAAACAGGAAGAGUUCCCUCACCGGACAGUAGAUCGGGCCUUGAUCUUGGACUUCUAGUCUCCAGGACAGUGAGAAAUAAAUGUUCGUUGUUUAAGCCACCCAGUCAGUCUAUAACACCCUAAACUAAGAGAACACAGUCUUGGAGGUUUGCUUUAAAAAUGAGGAAACCAAGGCCUAGGGAGGAGAGACAAAACACAGUGUGGAAGGACUCCUAGAUUGCUUUGAUAAACCUAAAUUGUACUCUUGUGUGACUGUAGGCAAGUUUGUGACUAGGCCUCAAAUUCCUCUUCUGCAAAGGGAGAAGACUGAGAAGCGGUAAGUGAUUUUCAAGAUGCGUUUUGAGGCAUUUACAGUCUGCUUUUAUGAUUUUGAGAUGGAGUGUCUUGGCUGAAGUCAUACAGUGUUCUAUCACCUGGCCCAAUGUUUUGUUUUAUGACACCACACUGAGUUUCCAUUAAAAAAUUUUUUUUAUGUGAA